CACUGUGAAGAGGUAGUUUGCGUUAAUGGCGACAGGGUGGGAGAACAUUUCUUUAACUCUGGUGGAUGGACAAGUUUUGUCAAUUUAUAUAUAUAUAUUUUUAAAAAGAAGCCGAAACAGUUACUUCAGUUGCAGACUUCUAGAAGCUGUGGAGCGCUGAAAGCAAAGUGUAACGUCGAGGUAGCAGGUGUCACUGUGACGAAGGCAGUGAACUCGAGUCCAGGAAAUACGGAUGGGUCUGUAAUCCCCACAGCUCGGAGAGCUAACACGUGUCUGAGCAAGUGGACCGCUUGUAUAAAGGGUCAUGUGUUGGGUUUUAAGCAACACAUGCAAAGAUAAAUGCAAAUGAUUCCCAGGGCUUAAAGAACUGAGCUACAAGGACAGGCUGCAAGAACUGAAUCUAUUUAGCCUGGAACAGAGAGCUGGGGGGACAUGACUGAAGUCUUUAAACUAUUAAAAAGAGUUGACAUGCUUUAAUCGCAGUACAGAAGCCAGGACCAGAGGACACAGCUGGAAACGAAGUGGGAGAUUCUGUUUAACAUGUUAGCAGAAACCCCUGACGAUGCUAACAAAUGGAAAAACACAUUCCAGUAACACUCCCCGUUGUUAUACAAUACAGGACAGAAGUUGAAACAGCUGUUGAGUUGGCACUAGAGGGAGCAAGCAGAUCAUCAUUUUGAAAGAGCUAAUAGAUUCAGCAUAGUCUUAUAAUAGUAACAAUUGCUGUAAAAACAAUUGUUUUACCUGUAGGGAGCUACGUCUUUAAAAGAAUGUUGUCAAUAAUGUUGUCAUAUCAAA